rnacentral:rRNA from 1 species
CCCGAGUGCUUGCACUCAAUUGGAAAGAGGAGUGGCGGACGGGUGAGUAACACGUGGGUAACCUACCCAUCAGAGGGGGAUAACACUUGGAAACAGGUGCUAAUACCGCAUAACAGUUUAUGCCGCAUGGCAUAAGAGUGAAAGGCGCUUUCGGGUGUCGCUGAUGGAUGGACCCGCGGUGCAUUAGCUAGUUGGUGAGGUAACGGCUCACCAAGGCCACGAUGCAUAGCCGACCUGAGAGGGUGAUCGGCCACACUGGGACUGAGACACGGCCCAGACUCCUACGGGAGGCAGCAGUAGGGAAUCUUCGGCAAUGGACGAAAGUCUGACCGAGCAACGCCGCGUGAGUGAAGAAGGUUUUCGGAUCGUAAAACUCUGUUGUUAGAGAAGAACAAGGACGUUAGUAACUGAACGUCCCCUGACGGUAUCUAACCAGAAAGCCACGGCUAACUACGUGCCAGCAGCCGCGGUAAUACGUAGGUGGCAGGCGUUGUCCGGAUUUAUUGGGCGUAAAGCGAGCGC